rnacentral:lncRNA from 1 species
UUUGUUUUUUUUCUUCUCUCUUUUUUUUCCUCACACUUUUUUUUUCUUUUUCUUUCUCUUUUUUUUUUCUCUGACUUCUUUUUCUUUUUUCUCUCUUUUUUUCUCUGUCUUUUUUUCUCUCCCUCUUUCCAAGACAAACUAGAUAAGAUGUAGAUUGGAUCAAGCGAAGAUGUGAACGACCUCAACUAUGAUUGUGACAAUGAACUAGGGAUAGCACGAGGUGGAAAAUGAUAGAUGGUGUGGUGGAUAGCGGAAGGGAUAACGAUGCAGCGGCGACGUGACUAAUGUGAACAGAACUCGAAACUCUAACGUACUAGACGCUAGGACCAGCAACUUGACACGCGAUGCAACCGCAAAUUCAACAAAGCAAAUACAGAAAAGUUUAUGCAAAGGCUCAAAUUGGUUCGGAUAAGAUGAACUAACCCUAAUAUUUUUUUUGGCUUUUUCGUGGACUAUAGGUAUGAAGAACAGACUCGAUCUAAACUACGAAAAACAGUAAAAUCUCACCGAGCAACCUGGAAAUCUGAUACCACUUGAUAGAGGCGAGGGUGUCCUGAUCUUUCGAUGAGAUGAUACCUAUCGAUUUGGUGGAGUCGACUUUGGCGAUCCGACUACAAACGUGCACGACGUUGCGCCUUAGCAAUCAUUAAACCAAUCUCCUGAGGUUACUGACAAUGCCGGAAGCACGAUCAGCCUGACCACGAAGGUCUAUUCCUGCACACAAUCGAAGAACGAGCAAUAAUAUGAUAAAGCAAUCUGAAUAUUGCGAAUAUAUAUGAAGUAUUGAUAAUGGUGGGGAUCCGUAAGCGGUCUUGGUCUGGUCGUUCGACACAAACGAAGUACACGAAGUUGCAAUGGCUAACUUUUAACUAAACAAAUCCCAAGGAAAAAGCUACUAGAUGGAUCUACUUAUAUAGGAGCAAGGGGUGGCGGCCACGGAGGUGGGAGGACGUCCCAAGGCAGCCUAAAACCAACCCUAAGUCGUACAAGGCUCAUGGGCCCAAGUAGAGGUGAUGCAACACCUUUGGACUUGUUGUUUGACUCAGAUUCUGCUGCAGCGUCAGAUUGUUUCGUCCAUAUCUCAACGCUCCGGACGAAUUUAAAGGUGAAUCUAAUUGGGUUGGAAAGAGGACGAAAUCUACUUUCCAACGAAAAAAGAAUCACUCAAUUCGGAGUCCGUAUGAAAAAAUUGUUGGCGUUUUGAGUCAGGUAUGUCUGUGCAGUCCGAAUCUGAAUCCAGAACGUGAGAGAUUUGGACUCUAUCUUCUCUUGGCCCAAAAGUGACGUGAGAGGACUUUUUGAACAGAACCUAAACUUCUCCUUUUCCCCUAUCUUCAUAUGUGGAUUGUACAAAUGUCCCAUGCACCUGCAAUUAGACAAAACACAAAAGUGUGUGAAGUAUUUUUGUUCUGGAUAACAUAAAUAGAUUAUUGAAUAGUUUGCACUAGAAAUCACCUGAUAAAUAUGCAUGUAUGCAAUAUUUUUGGUCGUAUCAAGGUAGUCAUGUCCUCAUCAAUGUAUCUACCCUCAAACGGUGGAAUAUUCAAUUUCAGUUUAGGAACAUGGUCAUGAUCUCGUACCUGAGGUGGUGGUGCAGGCCUACCGUUGCGAAUAUAUACCUGAGGUCGACCUGCUGGUGGUGGUGCUGGUGGCUGCACGUAGUUCUGAUUUUGAUCAACCUCAUCCAAUCGCCCGCAUAAUCGUCAUCCUCCUCAGCCGCGCAGUAGCAGGAGCCAAAGAAGCAUCAACAGUAGGUGCAGCGGCACCCAAAUUUUGACCAGUCUCAAUUGGAACGCGCUGUGCUCGUCCCACUUGAUUUGGAAGGCGGCGUUGGAGAUGUGAUUGUUGUUGUUGUAGAGGUGCGACAGGUGCAGCCGGUGGUGGUUGGGGAAGACGCUUGAGCAAUUCAUUAAACUUGUUAUCCAGCUUUGUCUCGAACGACUUCUCCACGGCAUCUAUCUUCUCCAUGGCCUCUUCAAAUCUGUUUAGCACAUCUCCCACCUGGCCACUCAUCAUUUGCUGAAAUUUAUCAUGCAACUCCUUGUUCGUCAUGUUCUCCCAAUCAGUCUCAUCGGCUUGUGAUCCUACCAUGGUUAGCAGCAAUAGAAACACAAAAGAAUAUGAUCCUACAGACUACUAGGAAAUGGUGGUGACGGUGGUGUGUCACAAAUCCUUCAAGCGAAUCUCAAAUUCUUACCAGUUCUUACCCAGCAGCAGGUGGUGAUCGGCAACCGUUGUAGUCAAAACUCUCAAAUCUUGGAUAGAGCGAUUACCAGGGAGAGUCAAACGCACGACGUAGAUGUAUGUGGAGCUAGGAAGGCUUAUAAUAUGGUAGCAAAAAGGGUCAGCAAUAAUCAAUUCAGAUAUGCAAAGUUGAAUAAACGCUCAACGACGGUACUGUGCUGGUCCUAGGCUAGACCGUGCUAGAGACGCGAGCCUAGAACACUAACAAAAUCACGACGCUGCACGUAAACAAGGGAGGAGCACACUCUGAAUUUUUUUCUCUUUUUUUUCACUUUUUUUGCACUUUUUUUCCUCUUUUUUUUUGCUCCGCAACAAUUUUUUUCGAAAAAGUCUACAAAUGGUCUAAAAACUGCCUAGCCAGAAUUUUCCAGACUUCGUUUUUUUUUUGAAACUGGAACUAUUUUUCUACUCCGGGUAACACAGAAGUUUGGGAGUCCUUCUCUGUCACGACUCGGAGUAUGGCUGGUGGCGGAGAUGAAUCUGGUGGAACUCGGACUGGUGGCGGAUAUAUGUUGCAGGUGUACUCGGAUUGGCGUGAUGACGGCGGAUAUGUGGUGGCGUAUAUGGACUCGGAUUGGCGAUGAAUAUGUGGUGGUGGUAUAUGGCAGCGGCGAUGAAGUUGGUGCGGUGGUGGUAUAUGGCAGCAGCGAUGAUGAUGAUGCGGUGGUGAUAUAUGGCAGCGGCGAUGUGACAACCUGUGAACAAAACUCGAAACUCUAAAGGACUAGACGCUAAGACCAGCAACUUGACACGACGAUGCAACCGCAAAUUCAACAAAGCAAACACAGAAAAGAUUAUGCAAAGGCUCACUUGGUUCGGAUAGGAUGAACUAACCCUAAAAAAAAUUCGGCUUUUUCGUGGACUAUAGGUAUGAAGAACAGACUCGAUCUAAACUACGAAAAACUGUAAAAUCUCACCGAGCAACCUGGAAAUCUGAUACCACUUGAUAGAGGCAAAGGUGUCCCGUCUUUCGAUGAGAUGAUGGAUAUCGCUUUGGUGGAAGUCGACUUUGACGAUCCGACUACGAAUGUGCGAUGACGUCGCGCCUUAGCAAUCGCUAAACCAACUCCGAGAGGUUAUUGACCACGCCGGAGCACGAUCAACCUGACCACGAGGGUCUGUUUCCUGCGAGCAAACGAAGAACAAGCAAGAAACUGAGAUUGCAAUCUGGAUAUUACAAAUAUAAGAUGAAAGCUUUAUUGAUCAAGGUGGGGUUCUAGGACACCUUUGCCUCGAUAUUUGUGAGCUUUGCUCCUACCUUCCCACUUGUGGAUCAAGACCCCUUUGGGAAGAAUCCUUGUGGAUUUCAAGAUCUCCUCAAGGAGAAGACUAUCUUCAAGACCUCGUCUCCUAGGAGUGGGAAGAACUUUGCCAUUGUAUCUUUCCUUUGAUUGUGUUUGAGACUUGUGGAUCUUAUGUUGCUAUUCUAGUGGAUGUGUAAUUGGGAAUUGUUUGAGUGAUUUCCUCUUUGUGUUCUUGAGUGAUUUUGCCCUUUUCCCCCUCCAAGUGUGAAAAGAUCCCCUCUAGGGUUUCACCCUACAUCAUCUUGGUAUCAUGUGCAAGGUUGAUUCACAUCUUGGAGUCCCAUCCCCCCAUUUGCUAGCUUGAUUUUGUUGUUUUUUGUCCAAAUUCGAAAAUCCCCACAAAAAUAGCCCCAAAAAAAAUUCUUGCAAUUUGUUGGAUCUUGUGAGAUUUGGUUGUUUUGGUCCACGAAUUUGGUGUUUGGCAAGUGGAUCUACCCAUCUUCCAGCCUCCGCACCCUUCAAAUCCUCGAAAUUGGCCUUAGCUUUCAAGAUUCCCACGGAUCCGUAGCUUUUCAUCCGCUCCCAGAACACCCCGUGCAUACGGGCCCUCGAGACCCCAUGCACACGGGACCCCGUGCACACGGGCCUCACUUACUCCGUGCGCACGGACCAUCCAGUGACUUUCGGCCAUCUUUUGUUUGCACCAUUUUGUUUCCCAACCAACACUCGUGUUCUCCCGCACUAUUUCUCGUGGUUGUUUGAGUUUUGGACCGCGGUUUCUCUUGUGUCCUAAGGUGUUUCGGCUACUUAGGCGCAUUUGGGCAUCAUCAUCGCCGCCACUCGAUCGUCAACUCGGACACCACAUGAUGAGGACAUCAAUACCAUUGUUACACCCACAACCCCUGCUGCUAUACAUACUGGACCAAUUACUAGAGCUCGCGCACGCCAAUUAAAUUACCAGGUACUUUCGUUUCUUGGUAAUGAUUCUAAUGUUCAUGAGAAUAUGAUGCUGCCUAAAUUGGAUACAUUUGUUUUGCUUACAAAUGAAGGGCCUAGCUUUGAGAAGGAUGAACAUUGGAGCAAGAACAAGCAUGGAGAUGAUGGCAUGCGCAUGGGGAACAAGAACGGAGUUACAAGUGAUGAUUUCAGGACGUUGAAGCCACCAUAAUGCGUGCAUGAAGCCUUGGACGAAAUAUACAAGAUGCUACUUCAUAACUUUCGUCCAGAGGCUAUUCUAGGUGCUGCGUCACCUUAUUAUUGGGCCAGGCCCAUGUAAUUUCGAAAUACUUGAGUAUAGGCUGUUUUUAGAGUCCGUAUGUGUGGGGAAACAAGAGAUAGGGUUGGUUUCGGACCCCUUCCCCAAGGGCCUCGAAAUUCCCCCCUCUUCCUCCAUAUAUACAGCCCUUAGGGCGUCGUUUAGACUUUGGGUUUUCUUUAGAUUAAAAGUUCGCCAUAGCUGCAACUUCGCGUACUUCGUUUGUGUUCAACGACCAGACAAAGGCGUCACAGAACUCCACCUUGAUCAAUAAAGCUUUCAUCUUAUAUUCGCAAUAUCCAGAUUGCAAUCUCAGUUUCUUGCUUGUUCUUCGUUUGCUCGCAAGAAACAGACCCUCGUGGUCAGGUUGAUCGUGCUCCGGCGUGGUCAAUAACCUCUCGGAGUUGGUUUAGCGAUUGCUAAGGCGCGACGUCAUCGCACGUUCGUAGUCGGAUCGUCAAAGUCGACUUCCACCAAAGCGAUAUCCAUCAUCUCAUCGAAAGAUGGAACACCUUUGUCUCUAUCAAGUGGUAUCAGAUUUCCAGGUUGCUCGGUCAGAUUUUACAGUUUUCCGUAGUUUAGAUCGAGUUUGUUCUUCAUACCUAUAGUCCACAAAAAGCCAAAAAAAAUUAGGGUUAGUUCAUCCUAUCAGAACCAAUGUGAGCCUUUGCAUAAUCUUUUCUGUGUUUGCUUUGUUGAAUUUGCGGUUGCAUCGUCGUGUCAAGUUGCUGGUCUUAGCGUCUAGUCCUUUAGAGUUUCGAGUUUUGUUCACAGGUUGUCACGUCGCCGCUGCCAUAUAUCACCACCGCAUCAUCAUCAUCGCUGCGGCCAUAUACCACCACCGCACCAACUUCAUCGCCGCUGCCAUAUACCACCACCACAUAUUCACCGCCAAUCCGAGUCCAUAUACGCCACCACAUAUCCGCCGCCAUCACGCCAAUCCGAGUACACCUGCAACAUAUAUCCGCCACCAGUCCGAGUUCCACCAGAUUCAUCUCCGCCACCAGUCCGAGUUCCACCAGAUUCAUCUCCGCCACCAGUCCUAGUCCAAGUCCAGUAUUAUGUUACUCUGUUUUGGAUUUCCAGAUCACGCCAUACUCCGAGUCGUGAUAGAGAAGGACUCCCAAACUUUUGUGUUACCCGCAGUAGAAAAAUAGUUCCAGUUUCAAAAAAAACUAAGUCUAGAAAAUUCUGGCUAGGCAGUUUUAAGACCAUUUGUAGACUUUUUCGGGAAAAAAUUGUUGCGGAGCAAAAAAAAUAAAAGAGGAAAAAAAGUGCAAAAAAAGGGAAAAAAAUUCAGAGUGUGCUCCUCCCUUGUUUACGUGCAGCGCCGUGAUUUUGUUAGUGUUCUAGGCUCGCGUCUCUAGCACGGUCUAGCCUAGGACCAGCACAGUACCGUCGUUGAGCGUUUAUUCAACUUUGCAUAUCUGAAUUGAUUAUUGCUGACCCUUUUUGCUACCAUAUUAUAAGCCUUCCCAGCUCCACAUACAUCUACGUCGUGCGUUUGACUCUCCCUGGUAAUCGCUCUAUCCAAUCUUUGAGAGUUUUGACUACAACAGUUGCCGAUCACCACCUGCUGCUGGGUAAGAACUGGUAAAAAUUUGAGAUUCGCUUGAAGGAUUUGUGACACACCACCAUCACCACCACUUCCUACUAGUCUGUGUUUCUAUUGCUGCUAACCAUGGCAGGAUCACAAGCCGAUGAGACUGAUUGGGAGAACAUGAAGAACAAGGGGUUGCGUGAUAAAUUUCAGCAAAUGAUGAGUGGCCAGGUGUGAUGAGGACAUGACUACCUUGGAUACGACCAAAAAUAUUGCAUACAUGCAUAUUUGCCAGGUGAUUUCUAGUGCAAACUAUUCAAUAAUCUAUUUAUGUUAUCCAGAACAAAAAUACUUCACACACUUUUGUGUUUUGUCUAAUUGCAGGUGUAUGGGACAUUUGUACAAUCCACAUAUGAAGAUAAGGCAAAAGGAGAAGUUUAGGUUCUGUUCAAAAAGUCCUCUCACGUCACUUUUGGGCCAAGAGAAGAUAGAGUCCAAGUCUCUCACGUUCUGGAUUCAGAUUCGGACUGCACAGACAUACCUGACUCAAAACGCCAACAACUUUUUCAUACGGACUCCGAAUUGGGUGAUUCUUUUUUUGUUGAAAACUAGAUUUCGUGCUUUUUCCAACCCAAUUGGAUUCACCUUUAAAUUCGUCCGGAGCAUUGAGUUAUGGUCGAAACAAUCUGACAUUGCACCAGAAUCCGAGUCAAACUACAAGUCCAAAGGUGUUGCAUCACCUCCACUUGGGCCCAUGAGCCUUGUACGACCUAGGGUUGGUUUUAGGCUGCCUUGGGACGUCCUCCCACCUCCUUGGCCGCCACCCCUUGCUCCUAUAUAAGUAGAUCCAUCUAGUAGCUUUUUCCUUGGGAUUUGUUUAGUUAAAAGUUAGCCAUUGCAACUUCGUGUACUUCGUUUGUGUCCAACGACCAGACCAAGACCGCUUACGGAUCCCCACCAUUAUCAAUACUUCAUAUAUAUUCGCAAUAUUCAGAUUGCUUUAUCAUAUUCUUGCUCGUUCUUCGAUUGCUUGCAGGAAUAGACCUUCGUGGUCAGGCUGAUCGUGCUUCCGGUAUCGUCAGUAACCUCAGGAGAUUGGUUUAGCGAUUGCUAAGGCGCAACGUCGUGCACGUUUGUAGUCGGAUCGUCAAAGUCGACUCCACCAAAUCGAUAGUUAUCAUCUCAUCGAAAGAUCGGGACACCCUCGCCCCUAUCAAGUGGUAUCAGUUUUCAGGUUGCUCGGUGAGAAUUUCCAGUUUCCUCUAGAUUAGAUUUAUUUUCUUACCUAUUGUCCAAGAAAAAGCCACAAAAAAGUUAGAUCUAUUCAUCUUUUUGUCCAAGCCAGUCUGAGCCUUUGCAAUUUUCUAUUCAUUGUUUGCAUUAUUGAAUUAUCGGUUGCAUCGUCGUGUCGAGUUGCUGGUCUUAGGGUCUAGUUCGUUUAGAGUUUCGAGUUCUGUUCACAUUAGUCACGUCGCCGCUGCAUCGUUAUCCCUUCUGCUGUCCACCACACCAUCCAUCAAAUUCCACCAUGUGCUACCCAUAGUUCAUUGUCACAAUCAUAGUUGAGGUCGUUCACAUCUUCGCUUGAUCCAAUCUGCAUCUUAUCUAGUUUGUCUUGGAAAGAGGGAGAGAAAAAAAAAGACAGAAAAAAAAGAGAAAAAAAAGAAGUCAGAAAAAAAAAGAGAAAGAAAAAAAGUGUGAGGAAAAAAAAAGAGAAGAAAAAAAACAAAAUUCGGAUCUAUCUAGACUCAAUCUCGUAGUUGAAUUCGGAUUGGAAUCUGUUUUGUGCACUGUUUAGUAAAACAGGCAUACCUUCCUCAUACGAAGUCCGUUUUGACUCCGCGAGUACUCAAAUGAAAGCUAGCGACGAGCCGCAUCUAAAUAGUUGCAGAGACUAGUUCAAUAUUUGACACCUCAAAAUCGUCUUCUAAAUAGGUCUUUUUGCCCUCCGAAGUUCGCGGACACAGCUUAUUCCAGUUUUUCAAGCCAGUUUCAGAAUUCUUUCACUCCUCAUAUCAACUCGGAAUUGAGUGAUUCUUUUUGCAUUGGACAGCUUGAGUUAGUAGCAUUCUUUGAAAAAAAUUAUUAGAAAAUUGGCACAAACUUUUCAAGAGGAAAGUUGGAGAGAGUUGUUGUAUAUCCUGCUUGGCAGUUGUUUUUCAUCAUUAUCUUUACUGCCGUUGUGAUCUUCACUUAUAUCUUGCUGUCCAGAGCUACUUAGUAUCCUUCAUUGAUGCUAGUUGUGCUACGCCGUGACCUCAUUAGUGUUCUAGGCUCGCGUCUCUAGUCCGGUCUAGCCUAGGACCAGCACAGUACCGUCGUUGAGCGUUUAUUCAACAUUGCAUCUCUGAAUUGAUUAUUGCUAAUAUUUUGCUACCAUAUAUAGCCAACCCAGCUCCACAUAUUUCUACACCGUGUAUACGUACGUUCCCCUGGAAAUCGCUUUACUCAAUCUUUGGAGUUAUUUGACACCGCUGGUUGCCUGUCACCACCUGCUGCUUGGUAAGAACUUGUAAGAUAUUGAUAUUUGCUUUACUGUGAGCGCUUUACCACCACAUCCUAGUAGUUCAUGGGAACAUUAUUCUUGAAUUUUGUUUCUUGUUUCUACUAAUCAUGACAGGAUCUAGAGUCAAUUCAUGGGGUUUGUCGAUCGUGGGAGAUGUGCCAUCACCUAUGCAAAUACCACAACCGCCACGAGAGGUGCACAAACAUCCAAAUGUACAUGAUCAGGUUAAUGUUUCUAUACCACCAUUUAAUGGCCGUUUUAGACCUGCUUUAUAUAUUGAAUGGGAGUUUGACCUAAAUAAUAUAUUUGCUUCCAAUAAUUUUGAUGUACGUAAAAAAGUUAAGGUUGCGGUUGGUUCUUUCACUGGUUAUGCUGUAGUUUGGUGGAGUGAAUAUUGUCGGUUACACCCUAAUGAUAUACCUACUACUUGGGAUGAUUUGAAACUUGCCAUGCGACAUACAUUCGUUCCCGCUUAUUAUACUCGUGACAUGAUUACAAAGUUGCAACAUUUAAAACAAGGUAGUGACACCGUAACGAAAUAUUAUGAUACUUUACAAACUACCUUGCUGCAUUCCUCUUUAGAAGAAAGUGAAGAAAAUUUUAUGGAUAGAUUUUGGGGAGGAUUAAAUCGUGACAUUCAGGAGAUACUAAUACAUGAAGAGUGUUAUCCUAUGGACCAUUUGUUUCAUCUUGCUUGCAAAGCUGAACAGGAAAUAAAACGACGUGUUGCGCACAAGGAGAACAAGCGCGAGAUGCACAUUCCAAGAGUUGAUACGGUUGUCCCUUCAACUACUAAGCAUACUAUGACAACCACAUCCGUUGUUGUGAGGACUACAUCACCUCCACCAUGUGACACAUCAUCACCGAGAGUGCCUACCUCAUCUGAGUUGAUCAUAAGAGGUAAUGACAAAGGUACUAAUCUUCCACUUCCACAUGAGUAUGAUGAAUGUCUUGUCAAUUUAAGUGCACCAUGCGGUGAGCUACCCACUACUUUGAUCACACCAGCUACCUUAGAGGACUAUGUUGAUGAUUUGACUUUGCCAUGUGAUCAAACAAUUUUGAGUGAGCCCAUUGAAUUAGCUAUCGAUGCAAAAGAAUCAAGUGAAUCUGGGAAUAAAUCAGAUUUGGAUCAAAUAUGUUUGAAAAUAAUUGUGCCAAUGUUUAAUCAUUUUGAUAUGACCUCUAAUCUUGGUGAUGGUUCAUCAAUGUUGGGAUGGUUUAAUGAUGAAUAUUGUCCAUCUUUUCAUAUGAAUAAGAGCUUCACUUAUAUGUGCAAACUGAGUUGCAAUACUUUCAUGCCUUCUACUUCUUGUGAUAAUAUUUUGGCUUUAUAUUUUAUUAACUAUGAAAGUUAUUCAUGUAUACAUGUGUCAUAUGUGCAAAAUCCACGGGAGGUAAAAAUGGAUGACAUAUACAUAUACAACAUGUACACCUUGUCUCUUUUGUUAGCCACAUUUCAGAUUAAGCAACGCCGAGGACGGCUUUGUUUUCAAGAAGGGGAGGAUGAUGAGGACAUGACUACCUUGGAUACGACCAAAAAUAUUGCAUACAUGCAUAUUUGUCAGGUGAUUUCUAGUGCAAACUAUUCAAUAAUCUAUUUAUGUUAUCCAGAACAAAAAUACUUCACACACUUUUGUGUUUUGUCUAAUUGCAGGUGUAUGGGACAUUUGUACAAUCCACAUAUGAAGAUAAGGCAAAAGGAGAAGUUUAGGUUCUGUUCAAAAAGUCCUCUCACGUCACUUUUGGGCCAAGAGAAGAUAGAGUCCAAGUCUCUCACGUUCUGGAUUCAGAUUCGGACUGCACAGACAUACCUGACUCAAAACGCCAACAACUUUUUCAUACGGACUCCGAAUUGGGUGAUUCUUUUUUUGUUGGAAACUAGAUUUCGUGCUCUUUCCAACCCAAUUGGAUUCACCUUUAAAUUCGUCCGGAGCAUUGAGUUAUGGUCGAAACAAUCUGACGUUGCACCAGAAUCCUAGUCAAACUACAAGUCCAAAGGUGUUGCAUCACCUCCACUUGGGCCCAUGAGCCUUGUACGACCUAGGGUUGGUUUUAGGCUGCCUUGGGACGUCCUCCCACCUCCUUGGCCGCCACCCCUUGCUCCUAUAUAAGUAGAUCCAUCUAGUAGCUUUUUCCUUGGGAUUUGUUUAGUUAAAAGUUAGCCAUUGCAACUUCGUGUACUUCGUUUGUGUCCAACGACCAGACCAAGACCACUUACGGAUCCCCACCACUAUCAAUACUUCAUAUAUAUUCGCAAUAUUCAGAUUGCAUUAUCAUAUUCUUGCUCGUUCUUCGAUUGCUUGCAGGAAUAGACCUUCGUGGUCAGGCUGAUCGUGCUUCCGGCAUCGUCAGUAACCUCAGGAGAUUGGUUUAGCGAUUGAUAAGGCGCAACGUCGUGCACGUUUGUAGUCGGAUCGUCAAAGUCGUCUCCACCAAAUUGAUAGUUAUCAUCUCAUCGAAAGAUCGGGACACCCUCGCCUCUAUCAAGUGGUAUCAGUUUUCAGGUUGCUCGGUGAGAAUUUCCAGUUUCUCCUAGAUUAGAUUUAUUUUCUUACCUAUUGUCCAAGAAAAAGCCACAAAAAAGUUAGAUCUAUUCAUCCUUUUGUCCAAGCCAGUCUGAGCCUUUGCAAUUUUCUAUUCAUUGCUUGCAUUAUUGAAUUAUCGGUUGCAUCGUCGUGUCGAGUUGCUGGUCUUAGGGUCUAGUUCGUUUAGAGUUUCGAGUUCUGUUCACAUUAGUCACGUCGCCGCUGCAUCGUUAUCCCUUCUGCUGUCCACCACACCAUCCAUCAAAUUCCACCACGUGCUACCCAUAGUUCAUUGUCACAAUCAUAGUUGAGGUCGUUCACAUCUUCGCUUGAUCCAAUCUGCAUCUUAUCUAGUUUGUCUUGGAAAGAGGGAGAGAAAAAAAAGACAGAGAAAAAAAAGAGAGAAAAAAGAAAGAAAAAGAAGUCAAAAAAAAGAGAAAGAAAAAAAAGUGUGAGGAAAAAAAAGAGAAGAAAAAAACAAAAUUCGGAUCUAUCUAGACUCGAUCUCGUAGUUGAAUUCGGAUUGGAAUCUGUUUUGUGCACUGUUUAGUAAAACAGGCAUAACUUCCUCAUACGAAGUCCGUUUUGACUCCGCGAGUACUCAAAUGAGAGCUAGCGACGAGCCGCAUCUAAAUAGUUGCAGAGACUAGUUCAAUAUUUGACACCUCAAAAUCGUCUUCUAAAUAGGUCUUUUUGCCCUCCGAAGUUCGCGGACACAGCUUAUUCCAGUUUUUCAAGCCAGUUUCAGAAUUCUUUCACUCCUCAUAUCAACUCGGAAUUGAGUGAUUCUUUUUGCAUUGGAAAGCUUGAGUUAGUAGCAUUCUUUUGAAAAAAAUUAUCAGAAAAUUGGCACAAACUUUUCAAGAGGAAAGUUGGAGAGAGUUGUUGUAUAUCCUGCUUGGCAGUUGUUUUUCAUCAUUAUCUUUACUGCCGUUGUGAUCUUCACUUAUAUCUUGCUGUCCAGAGCUACUUAGUAUCCUUAAUUGAUGCUAGUUGUGCUACGCCGUGACCUCAUUAGUGUUCUAGGCUCGCGUCUCUAGUCCGGUCUAGCCUAGGACCAGCACAGUACCGUCGUUGAGCGUUUAUUCAACAUUGCAUCUCUGAAUUGAUUAUUGCUAAUAUUUUGCUACCAUAUAUAGCCAACCCAGCUCCACAUAUUUCUACACCGUGUAUACGUACGUUCCCCUGGAAAUCGCUUUACUCAAUCUUUGGAGUUAUUUGACACCGCUGGUUGCCUGUCAUCACCUGCUGCUUGGUAAGAACUUGUAAGAUAUUGAUAUUUGCUUUACUGUGAGCGCUUUACCACCACAUCCUAGUAGUUCAUAGGAACAUUAUUCUUGAAUUUUGUUUCUUGUUUCUACUAAUCAUGACAGGAUCUAGAGUCAAUUCAUGGGGUUUGUCGAUCGUGGGAGAUGUGCCAUCACCUAUGCAAAUACCACAACCGUCACGAGAGGUGCACAAACAUCCAAAUGCACAUGAUCAGGUUAAUGUUUCUAUACCACCAUUUAAUGGCCGUUUUAGACCCGCUUUAUAUAUUGAAUGGGAGUUUGACCUAAAUAAUAUAUUUGCUUCCAGUAAUUUUGAUGUGCGUAAAAAAGUUAAGGUUGCGGUUGGUUCUUUCACUGGUUAUGCUGUAGUUUGGUGGAGUGAAUAUUGUCGGUUACACCCUAAUGAUAUACCUACUACUUGGGAUGAUUUGAAACUUGCCAUGCGACAUACAUUCGUUCCCGCUUAUUAUACUCGUGACAUGAUUACAAAGUUGCAACAUUUAAAACAAGGUAGUGACACCGUAACGAAAUAUUAUGAUACUUUACAAACUACCUUGCUGCAUUCCUCUUUAGAAGAAAGUGAAGAAGAUUUUAUGGAUAGAUUUUGGGGAGGAUUAAAUCGUGACAUUCAGGAGAUACUAAUACAUGAAGAGUGUUAUCCUAUGGACCAUUUGUUUCAUCUUGCUUGCAAAGCUGAACAGGAAAUAAAACGACGUGUUGCGCACAAGGAGAACAAGCGCGAGAUGCACAUUCCAAGAGUUGAUACGGUUGUCCCUUCAACUACUAAGCAUACUAUGACAACCACAUCCCUUGUUGUGAGGACUACAUCACCUCCACCAUGUGACACAUCAUCACCGAGAGUGCCUACCUCAUCUGAGUUGAUCAUAAGAGGUAAUGACAAAGGUACUAAUCUUCCACUUCCACAUGAGUAUGAUGAAUGUCUUGUCAAUUUAAGUGCACUAUGCGGUGAGCUACCCAUUACUUUGAUCACACCAGCUACCUUAGAGGACUAUGUUGAUGAUUUGACUUUGCCAUGUGAUCAAACAAUUUUGAGUGAGCCCAUUGAAUUAACUAUCGAUGCAAAAGAAUCAAGUGAAUCAGGGAAUAAAUCAGAUUUGGAUCAAAUAUGUUUGAAAAUAAUUGUGCCAAUGUUUAAUCAUUUUGAUAUGACCUCUAAUCUUGGUGAUGGUUCAUCAAUGUUGGGAUGGUUUAAUGAUGAAUAUUGUCAAUCUUUUCAUAUGAAUAAGAGCUUCACUUAUAUGUGCAAACUGAGUUGCAAUACUUUCAUGCCUUCUACUUCUUGUGAUAAUAUUUUGGCUUUAUAUUUUAUUAACUAUGAAAGUUACUCAUGUAUACAUGUGUCAUAUGUGCAAAAUCCACGGGAAGUAAAAAUGGAUGACAUAUACAUAUACAACAUGUACACCUUGUCUCUUUUGUUAGCCACAUUUCAGAUUAAGCAACGCCGAGGACAGCUUUGUUUUCAAGAAGGGGAGGAUGAUGAGGACAUGACUACCUUGGAUACGACCAAAAAUAUUGCAUACAUGCAUAUUUGUCAGGUGAUUUCUAGUGCAAACUAUUCAAUAAUCUAUUUAUGUUAUCCAGAACAAAAAUACUUCACACACUUUUGUGUUUUGUCUAAUUGCAGGUGUAUGGGACAUUUGUACAAUCCACAUAUGAAGAUAAGGCAAAAGGAGAAGUUUAGGUUCUGUUCAAAAAGUCCUCUCACGUCACUUUUGGGCCAAGAGAAGAUAGAGUCCAAGUCUCUCACGUUCUGGAUUCAGAUUCGGACUGCACAGACAUACCUGACUCAAAAUGCCAACAACUUUUUCAUACGGACUCCGAAUUGGGUGAUUCUUUUUUUGUUGGAAACUAGAUUUCGUGCUCUUUCCAACACAAUUGGAUUCACCUUUAAAUUCGUCCGGAGCAUUGAGUUAUGGUCGAAACAAUCUGACGUUGCACCAGAAUCUGAGUCAAACUACAAGUCCAAAGGUGUUGCAUCACCUCCACUUGGGCCCAUGAGCCUUGUACGACCUAGGGUUGGUUUUAGGCUGCCUUGGGACGUCCUCCCACCUCCUUGGCCGCCACCACUUGCUCCUAUAUAAGUAGAUCCAUCUAGUAGCUUUUUCCUUGGGAAUUUGUUUAGUUAAAAGUUAGCCAUUGCAACUUCGUGUACUUCGUUUGUGUCCAACGACCAGACCAAGACCGCUUACGGAUUCCCACCACUAUCAAUACUUCAUAUAUAUUCGCAAUAUUCAGAUUGCAUUAUCAUAUUCUUGCUCGUUCUUCGAUUGCUUGCAGGAAUAGACCUUCGUGGUCAGGCUGAUCGUGCUUCCGGCAUCGUCAGUAACCUCAGGAGAUUGGUUUAGCGAUUGAUAAGGCGCAACGUCGUGCACGUUUGUAGUCGGAUCGUCAAAGUCAUCUCCACCAAAUCGAUAGUUAUCAUCUCAUCGAAAGAUCGGGACACCUUUGCCUCUAUCAAGUGGUAUCAGAUUUCCAGGUUGCUCGGUGAGAUUUUACAGUUUUUCAUAGUUUAGAUCGAGUCUGUUCUUCAUACCUACAGUCCACGAAAAAGCCACAAAAAAAAAAUUAGAGUCAAUUCAUGGGGUUUGUCGAUCGUGGGAGAUGUGCCAUCACCUAUGCAAAUACCACAACCGUCACGAGAGGUGCACAAACAUCCAAAUGCACAUGAUCAGGUUAAUGUUUCUAUACCACCAUUUAAUGGCCGUUUUAGACCUGCUUUAUAUAUUGAAUGGGAGUUUGACCUAAAUAAUAUAUUUGCUUCUAAUAAUUUUGAUGUACGUAAAAAAGUUAAGGUUGCGGUUGGUUCUUUCACUGGUUAUGCUGUAGUUUGGUGGAGUGAAUAUUGUCGGUUACACCCUAAUGAUAUACCUACUACUUGGGAUGAUUUGAAACUUGCCAUGCGACAUACAUUCGUUCCCGCUUAUUAUACUCGUGACAUGAUUACAAAGUUGCAACAUUUAAAACAAGGUAGUGACACCGUAACGAAAUAUUAUGAUACUUUACAAACUACCUUGCUGCAUUCCUCUUUAGAAGAAAGUGAAGAAGAUUUUAUGGAUAGAUUUUGGGGAGGAUUAAAUCGUGACAUUCAGGAGAUACUAAUACAUGAAGAGUGUUAUCCUAUGGACCAUUUGUUUCAUCUUGCUUGCAAAGCUGAACAGGAAAUAAAACGACGUGUUGCGCACAAGGAGAACAAGUGCGAGAUGCACAUUCCAAGAGUUGAUACGGUUGUCCCUUCAACUACUAAGCAUACUAUGACAACCACAUCCGUUGUUGUGAGGACUACAUCACCUCCACCAUGUGACACAUCAUCACCGAGAGUGCCUACCUCAUCUGAGUUGAUCAUAAGAGGUAAUGACAAAGGUACUAAUCUUCCACUUCCACAUGAGUAUGAUGAAUGUCUUGUCAAUUUAAGUGCACCAUGCGGUGAGCUACCCACUACUUUGAUCACACCAGCUACCUUAGAGGACUAUGUUGAUGAUUUGACUUUGCCAUGUGAUCAAACAAUUUUGAGUGAGCCCAUUGAAUUAACUAUCGAUGCAAAAGAAUCAAGUGAAUCAGGGAAUAAAUCAGAUUUGGAUCAAAUAUGUUUGAAAAUAAUUGUGCCAAUGUUUAAUCAUUUUGAUAUGACCUCUAAUCUUGGUGAUGGUUCAUCAAUGUUGGGAUGGUUUAAUGAUGAAUAUUGUCAAUCUUUUCAUAUGAAUAAGAGCUUCACUUAUAUGUGCAAACUGAGUUUGCAAUACUUUCAUGCCUUCUACUUCUUGUGAUAAUAUUUUGGCUUUAUAUUUUAUUAACUAUGAAAGUUACUCAUGUAUACAUGUGUCAUAUGUGCAAAAUCCACGGGAAGUAAAAAUGGAUGACAUAUACAUAUACAACAUGUACACCUUGUCUCUUUUGUUAGCCACAUUUCAGAUUAAGCAACGCCGAGGACGGCUUUGUUUUCAAGAAGGGGAGGAUGAUGAGGACAUGACUACCUUGGAUACGACCAAAAAUAUUGCAUACAUGCAUAUUUGCCAGGUGAUUUCUAGUGCAAACUAUUCAAUAAUCUAUUUAUGUUAUCCAGAACAAAAAUACUUCACACACUUUUGUGUUUUGUCUAAUUGCAGGUGUAUGGGACAUUUGUACAAUCCACAUAUGAAGAUAAGGCAAAAGGAGAAGUUUAGGUUCUGUUCAAAAAGUCCUCUCACGUCACUUUUGGGCCAAGAAAAGAUAGAGUCCAAGUCUCUCACGUUCUGGAUUCAGAUUCGGACUGCACAGACAUACCUGACUCAAAACGCCAACAACUUUUUCAUACGGACUCCGAAUUGGGUGAUUCUUUUUUUGUUGAAAACUAGAUUUCGUGCUUUUUCCAACCCAAUUGGAUUCACCUUUAAAUUCGUCCGGAGCAUUGAGUUAUGGUCGAAACAAUCUGACAUUGCACCAGAAUCCGAGUCAAACUACAAGUCCAAAGGUGUUGCAUCACCUCCACUUGGGCCCAUGAGCCUUGUACGACCUAGGGUUGGUUUUAGGCUGCCUUGGGACGUCCUCCCACCUCCUUGGCCGCCACCCCUUGCUCCUAUAUAAGUAGAUCCAUCUAGUAGCUUUUUCCUUGGGAUUUGUUUAGUUAAAAGUUAGCCAUUGCAACUUCGUGUACUUCGUUUGUGUCCAACGACCAGACCAAGACCGCUUACGGAUCCCCACCAUUAUCAAUCCUUCAUAUAUAUUCGCAAUAUUCAGAUUGCUUUAUCAUAUUCUUGCUCGUUCUUCGAUUGCUUGCAGGAAUAGACCUUCGUGGUCAGGCUGAUCGUGCUUCCGGCAUCGUCAGUAACCUCAGGAGAUUGGUUUAGCGAUUGCUAAGGCGCAACGUCGUGCACGUUUGUAGUCGGAUCGUCAAAGUCGACUCCACCAAAUCGAUAGUUAUCAUCUCAUCGAAAGAUCGGGACACCUUUGCCUCUAUCAAGGUGGGAGAUGUGCUAAACAGAUUUGAAGAGGCUAUGGAGAAGAUAGAUGCCGUGGAGAAGUCGUUUGAGGCAAAGCUGGAUAACAGGAUUAAUGAAUUGCUCAAGCGUCUUCCCCAACCACCACCGGCUGCAUCUGUCGCACCUCUACAACAACAACCACAUCUCCAACGCCGCCUUCCAAAUCAAGUGGGACGAGCACAGCGCGUUCCAAUUGAGACUGGUCAAAAUUCGGGUGCCGCUGCACCUACUGUUGAUGCUUCUUUGGCUCCUGCUACUGCGGCAGCUGAGGAGGAUGACGAUUAUGCGGGCGAUUAUGAGGAUGAGGUUGAUCAAAAUCAGAACUACGUGCAGCCACCAGCACCACCUCCAGCAGGUCGACCUCAGGUAUAUAUUCGCAACGGUAGGCCUGCACCACGACCUCAGGUACGAGAUCAUGACCAUGUUCCUAAACUGAAAUUGAAUAUUCCUGAUGUAUAUCUUACUUGGGAGUUAGAAACUGAACAACGUUUUACAUGCUUACAAUAUCCCGAGGAGAGACGGUUUGCUGCUGCUGUUUGUGCUUUCACUAGUUUUGCAUGUGUAUGGUGGUCUGAACAUUGUAGAUUAUAUCCUAUUCCAGCUACUUGGGCUGCUUUGAAAACUGCUAUGCGUACUCGUUGGGUUCCACCAUAUUAUCAACGUGAAUUGCUUCAAAAACUGCAGCGUUUACGACAAGGGAAAAAUUCUGUAGAAGAAUAUUAUCAGGAAUUACAAACUGGCAUGAUUAGAUGUGGUAUUGUUGAGGAGAAUGAAGCUAUGCUUGCACGUUUUAUGGGUGGUUUAAAUAGAGAGAUUCAGACCAUUCUAGAGUAUAAGGAGUAUACUAAUAUCACUCGUUUAUUCCAUCUUGCUUGUAAAGCUGAACGUGAAGUGCAGGAUCGACAAGCAUUGGCGCGAACUAACUUUUCUGCAGGUCGACCUUCAUCAUGGACACCGCGUGCAUCUUCUACUUCCACUUCACCAUCACCAUGAACGUGAAGAGCUCUUCUUCUUCCAUGGCAUCAACAGGGCACACAAGUGAUAUUAUUUGUCAUCGUUGUAAGGGAAGAGGACAUUAUGCGCGAGAAUGCAAAUAUCAGCGUGUAAUGAUUGCUACUGAGGAUGGUGGGUAUGAGUCCGCUAGUGACUAUGAUGAGGAUACUUUGGCUCUUAUUACACGUGAAGAACAUGGUGGAGAUGAUUCUGAAAAUGAGACGCAAUACAUGGCUCCUGAAGACGCUGACAGGUAUGAAUGUUUAGUUGCUCAACGUGUUUUGAGUGUGCAGGUCACACCAGCAGAGCAAAAUCAGAGGCAUAAUUUGUUCCAUACAAAGGGAGUUGUGAAGGAACGGUCUGUUCGCGUCAUCAUAGAUGGAGGGAGCUGUAACAACUUGGCUAGCAUGGAGAUGGUGGAGAAGCUAUCUCUCACCACAAGACCACAUCCACAUCCUUACUACAUCCAAUGGUUCAACAACAGCGGCAAGGUUAAGGUAACACGUACUGUUCGUGUGCAUUUUAGCAUCACUACAUAUGCUGAUUAUGUUGAUUGUGAUGUGGUACCCAUGCAAGCAUGUUCCUUAUUACUUGGUAGACCAUGGCAAUUUGAUAAAAAUUCUGUACACCAUGGUAGGAACAAUCACUAUACUCUUGUUCAUAAGGAUAAAAAUAUUACUUUGCUUCCUAUGACUCCUGAUUCCAUUUUGAAAGAUGACAUUCAUAGAGCUAAUAAAGCAAAACAGGAGAAAAAUAAGAGUGAAAAUCAGAUUGUGGCAAAAGAAUUUGAGCAACAAUUGAAACCUAAUAAUAAACCAUCUAGUGUUGAUUCUGAAAUUAAAUUGAAAAGUGCAUGUUUACUUGCCACAAAAUCUUAUAUUGAUGAGCUAGAUUUCAGCAAAUCUGUUUGCUAUGCUUUUGUGUGCAAAGAGGCAUUAUUUUCAUUCGAGGACGUGCCUUCCACUUUGCCCCCUGCUGUCACUAACAUUUUGCAGGAGUUCGCUGACGUCUUUCCACAAGACGUGCCACCGGGAUUACCACCUAUUCGAGGGAUUGAGCAUCAAAUUGACUUAAUUCCCGGUGCAUCGCUACCCAACCGUGCACCAUACCGUACCAAUCUAGAGGUGAUAGAGGCGGGGGUGUCCCGAUCUUUCGAUGAGAUGAUAACUAUCGAUUUGGUGGAGUCGACUUUGACGAUCCGACUACAAACGUGCACGACGUUGCGCCUUAACAAUCGCUAAACCAAUCUCCUGAGGUUACUGACGAUGCCGGAAGUACGAUCAGCCUGACCACGAAGGUCUAUUCCUGCACGCAAUCGAAGAACAAGCAAGAAUAUGAUAAUGCAAUCUGAAUAUUGUGAAUAUAGAUGAAGUAUUGAUAAAGGUGGGGAUGCGUAAGCGGUCUUGGUCUGGUCGUUGGACACAAACGAAGUACACGAAGUUGCAAUGGCUAACUUUUAACUAAACAAAUCCCAAGCAAAAAACUACUAGAUGGAUCUACUUAUAUAGGAGCAAGGGGUGGCGGCCAAGGAGGUGGGAGGACGUCCCAAGGCAGCCUAAAACCAACCCUAGGUCGUACAAGGCUCAUGGGCCCAAGUGGAGGUGAUGCAACACCUUUGGACUUGUAGUUUGACUCGGAUUCUGGUGCAACGUCAGAUUGUUUCGACCAUAACUCAAUGCUCCGGACGAAUUUAAAGGUGAAUCCAAUUGGGUUGGAAAGAGCACGAAAUCUAGUUUCCAACAAAAAAAGAAUCACCCAAUUCGGAGUCCGUAUGAAAAAGUUGUUGGCGUUUUGAGUCAGGUAUGUCUGUGCAGUCCGAAUCUGAAUCCAGAACGUGAGAGACUUGGACUCUAUCUUCUCUUGGCCCAAAAGUGACGUGAGAGGACUUUUUAAACAGACCUAAACUUCUCCUUUUGCCUUAUCUUCAUAUGUGGAUUGUACAAAUGUCCCAUACACCUGCAAUUAGACAAAACACAAAAGUGUGUGAAGUAUUUUUGUUCUGGAUAACAUAAAUAGAUUAUUGAAUAGUUUGCACUAGAAAUCACCUGACAAAUAUGCAUGUAUGCAAUAUUUUUGGUCGUAUCCAAGGUAGUCAUGUCCUCAUCAUCCUCCCCUUCUUGAAAACAAAGCCGUCCUCGGCGUUGCUUAAUCUGAAAUGUGGCUAACAAAAGAGACAAGGUGUACAUGUUGUAUAUGUAUAUGUCAUCCAUUUUUACUUCCCGUGGAUUUUGCACAUAUGACACAUGUAUACAUGAGUAACUUUCAUAGUUAAUAAAAUAUAAAGCCAAAAAUUAUCACAAGAAGUAGAAGGCAUGAAAGUAUUGCAACUCAGUUUGCACAUAUAAGUGAAGCUCUUAUUCAUAUGAAAAGAUGGACAAUAUUCAUCAUUAAACCAUCCCAACAUUGAUGAACCAUCACCAAGAUGAGAGGUCAUAUCAAAAUGAUUAAACAUUGGCACAAUUAUUUUCAAACAUAUUUGAUCCAAAUCUGAUUUAUUCCCUGAUUCACUUGAUUCUUUUGCAUCGAUAGUUAAUUCAAUGGGCUCACUCAAAAUUGUUUGAUCACAUGGCAAAGUCAAAUCAUCAACAUAGUCCUCUAAGGUAGCUGGUGUGAUCAAAGUAGUGGGUAGCUCACCGCAUGGUGCACUUAAAUUGACAAGACAUUCAUCAUACUCAUGUGGAAGUGGAAGAUUAGUACCUUUGUCAUUACCUCUUAUGAUUAACUCAGAUGAGGUAGGCACUCUCGGUGAUGAUGUGUCACAUGGUGGAGGUGAUGUAGUCCUCACAACAACGGAUGUGGUUGUCAUAGUAUGCUUAGUAGUUGAAGGGACAACCGUAUCAACUCUUGGAAUCUGCAUCUCGUGCUUGUUCUCCUUGUGCGCAACACGUCGUUUUAUUUCCUGUUCAGCUUUGCAAGCAAGAUGAAACAAAUGGUCCAUAGGAUAACACUCUUCAUGUAUUAGUAUCUCCUGAAUGUCACGAUUUAAUCCUCCCCAAAAUCUAUCCAUAAAAUCUUCUUCACUUUCUUCUAAAGAGGAAUGCAGCAAGGUAGUUUGUAAAGUAUCAUAAUAUUUCGUUACGGUGUCACUACCUUGUUUUAAAUGUUGCAACUUUGUAAUCAUGUCACGAGUAUAAUAAGCGGGAACGAAUGUAUGUCGCAUGGCAAGUUUCAAAUCAUCCCAAGUAGUAGGUAUAUCAUUAGGGUGUAACCGACAAUAUUCACUCCACCAAACUACAGCAUAACCAGUGAAAGAACCAACCGCAACCUUAACAUUUUUACGUACAUCAAAAUUAUUGGAAGCAAAUAUAUUAUUUAGGUCAAACUCCCAUUCAAUAUAUAAAGCAGGUCUAAAACGGCCAUUAAAUGGUGGUAUAGAAACAUUAACCUGAUCAUGUGCAUUUGGAUGUUUGUGCACCUCUUGUGACGGUUGUGGUAUUUGCAUAGGUGAUGGCACAUCUCCCACGAUCGACAAACCCCAUGAAUUGACUCUAGAUCCUGUCAUGAUUAGUAGAAACAAGAAACAAAAUUCAAGAAUAAUGUUCCUAUGAACUACUAGGAUGUGGUGGUAAAGUGCUCACAGUAAAGCAAAUAUCAAUAUCUUACAAGUUCUUACCAAGCAGCAGGUGGUGACAGGCAACCAGCGGUGUCAAAUAACUCCAAAGAUUGAGUAAAGCGAUUGCCAAGGGAACGUACGUAUACACGGUGUAGAAAUAUGCGGAGCUGGGUUGGCUAUAUAUGGUAGCAAAAUAUUAGCAAUAAUCAAUUCAGAGAUGCAAUGUUGAAUAAACGCUCAACGACGGUACUGUGCUGGUCCUAGGCUAGACCGGACUAGAGAGGUCACGGCGUAGCACAACUAGCAUCAAUGAAGGAUACUAAGUAGCUCUGGACAGCAAGAUAUAAGUGAAGAUCACAACGGCAGUAAAGAUAAUGAUGAAAAACAACUGCCAAGCAGGAUAUACAACAACUCUCUCCAACUUUCCUCUUGAAAAGUUUGUGCCAAUUUUCUGAUAAUUUUUUUUCAAAGAAUGCUACUAACUCAAGCUUUCCAAUGCAAAAAGAAUCACUCAAUUCCGAGUUGAUACGAGGAGUCAAAGAAUUCUGAAACUGGCUUGAAAAACUGGAAUAAGCUGUGUCCGCGAACUUCGGAGGGCAAAAAGACCUAUUUAGAAGACGAUUUUGAGGUGUCAAAUAUUGAACUAGUCUCUGCAACUAUUUAGAUGCGGCUCGUCGCUAGCUCUCAUUUGAGUACUCGCGGAGUCAAAACGGACUUCGUAUGAGGAAGUUAUGCCUGUUUUACUAAACAGUGCACAAAACAGAUUCCAAUCCGAAUUCAACUACGAGAUCGAGUCUAGAUAGAUCCGAAUUUUGUUUUUUUUUCUUCUCUCUUUUUUUCCCUCACACUUUUUUCUUUCUCUUUUUUUUCUGACUUCUUGUUCUUUCUUUUUUCUCUCUUUUUUAUUCUCUGUCUUUUUUCUCUCCCACUUUCCAAGACAAACUAGAUAAGAUGCAGAUUGGAUCAAGCGAAGAUGUGAACGACCUCAACUAUGAUUGUGACAAUGAACUAUGGGUAGCACGUGGUGGAAUUUGAU